GGACUUUAUUUGCGCAGUAUAGGUGGGAGGCAUUGAGAAUAUCCUUGCGGGGAUAUAGGAGCCAUUAGUGAGAUACCACUCUUGUAAUGUUAGAUUUCUAACUUUGUAUCAUUAUCUGGUCAAAGGACAGUUUCAGGCGGGCAGUUUGACUGGGGCGGUCGCCUCCCAAAUGGUAACGGAGGCGCACAAAGGUUUCCUCUGAACGGGUAGAAAUCGUAUCUAGAGUGUAAAGGCAUAAGGAAGCUUGACUGUGAGACCUACAAGUCGAGCAGGGACGAAAGUCGGUCUUAGUGAUCUGACGGUGCUGAGUGGAAAGGCCGUCACUCAACGGAUAAAAGUUACUCUAGGGAAACCAGGCUGA
rnacentral:rRNA from 1 species